UUGAGCGUCCGCUGCAACCUCACAGGUAGUAGAGUCCUAUAUCCAUUUUGUUACCUGUCGAUCCCUUGUCUCAGUGUGGAGCGUCGUUUAUGUAAAUCCUGCUCAUGUGGAAAAGCGAUCAGCCCUAUCACCAACUAUGUACUUCAGCAGCGCGGAUGUAGGUGUGUCCUCUCAAAUCGCUCCUGUUGCUGCACUGCGCAUGGAGACGCCGCCGCCAAGGAAUUGUGUACUGCUGAGAACCCUUUCGGAGGCUGUCUCCGUACAUGACGAGGAAUGAGAGUAUCACAGGGCCCUUCGACGUCGGUCCUCGGCAGACGGUCACGUGAGUUUGUCACGCCGAGCUUUGAACGCUUCCGACCCGAUCCGGGGAGGGCGUAUUUCGAAACCCUGACCGAUACAGAAGAGCGGCGGCGGCGGCAGCAGAAAACCCCGAAAACCCGAUGCGUUUGCUGUACGGCAUGCUGUACGGACGCCGAUGCCGACGGUGGCUAUCGCCCACAGGGCAGGGCGGAGGGUGGUGAAAUGAAAUGUACUGGAGAACAAGGUUAGGUUGGAACACGCACGUAAUUUUGAAGUUCUUUACUAUGUGUUUGGAUUACAAGCAAGGGUGGGUCGAAUUUGACUACCCCUGGGUCUGUAGAUGAGACGGAACGUUACGAAGUUAUAGUUGAAACCAGACAGAUAUUCGGAGAAUGUGUUACGCCAAGGGCCCGAAACUCGCCAGUUCCUUUGCGGGAUAAAGUGAGGCGCUUCAUGCGUUUCACGUUAUCGGACGUCAGAAAACGUCACAAAUUGAACGUCAUGGAGACAUCCGGUGGCUAGUGAUUACUGAUUGGUUCCCAUGAGGAUGAAUUCGUUUUCUGAGCGAUGAUUGGCUGUUUUCAAAUUUGUUCGCGAGCGCUCGAACAGGCGACAGCGCGACGGCUGUGCCAGUUGGAACCGGCGUCCACGGAGUCGCCGGCGUUCGUUUCGGACGGCUCGCGUUGUGUAGCAGUUGUGUUGGACUAUGAGUUCUGAUUUUUCCUGUUUAAAAACGCCAGCUGUAUCAUGUGAGCGUCCUCGAACAGUCACAGCUGCCAGGGAAGAUGCCUGCGCAACAUUUGUGCUCUGCUUCUUGGUGUAGAAACUAUUCGAGCGUCCGACCGCCUCGUACCCGAUACCUGGUCAACGACUGCCGAGAGCCACUGAGCUCCAGUUCCCAGUAGCAGUCCUUGCCAGAGGCAGUCCGACAUCAUCAGGCUUCUUCAAGCAAAUUCUGGAGCAAUAUUAAUGUCAUCCUGUGUACGUCUUGCAUGUAUAACCGUAUGUCGCACAAUAAAAUACUUCAUGUGACAAAAACAACCAAGGCUCAGUCGUAUUCCUGUAACUCCCACUGCAUUCCGACAAACGCGAGCAAAAAAAAAAAACAGUGCAUGGAAGAAAAAAAGGAACAGCAAAAGAGGACGGGAAGCAGAGCAGAAAGGAGGAAAGUAGUAAGAGAGAAACGGAUGACACGUCAUUUACGUCAUUCGCGACAUAAUAAAAAAAAAUAGUGUGGCUAGUCCUCAGUCAUUGGUCGAGCUCCGGAGGUCACGUGAGUUUUUUGCUACAAUAGAUUUCUACUACAGCUUCGCGCCCCUGGUUACGCCAUAUAAAGCAAGAGGGCAACAACUGUUAAUUUGAACGUUCGGAAACUGUCACACAAGGAACAGUAUGUCCUGUCGCACUGUUAAUGUCAAUGUCAUUCUUUCCCUGUCCGAUUUAGUAUGUGCCUCGACCCACAUUCGAAGCACAUCAAAACAGUCUCUUGCGUCAAAACAGUUGUCAUUUAGGAGCCUCCACUGAUAAUUCAUAUGCUGUGACUAAACAGCGUGCGUAGAAUUGAUCCACUGUACUGAACUGUCAAUACGAUGUGUCAUGCUAUGUGUUGCUUUAGAGUGUGUAAUGCUAAGGCUGAGACAUACACUGAAGGCAGGAACACAAACAGGCUAUCUGUAUUUCAAUGCAAAAGUGAAGACCUUGUUGUACUUAUUAUAUCUCCAUACAGAUAAUAAGUACUUACAAACGUCAGCACACACUAGUAGACAGGUCCCAAUAGUAUUAUACUCUAGGGAAUUUUUGUAAAUUUUGUUAUAUUUUGCAACAUCAACAACCGCAACAAACUUGCAGGCGAGUCAAUCGAACGACAGAUGUGGCGUGACUUGUAUUGAAGGAAAAUGAUAUUGUGUCAAAUAAAGAAUAAUGUAAUGA